rnacentral:lncRNA from 1 species
AAUUAAUUAAAAUAGGCUAAUUAAAAUAAAAAUCAGAAAAUAGCAAAAAACGUGGACCACUUGAUCUCCCUCAUUAAUUGAGGUGGCAGAUCAAGUGGAUCAGCGCGCGCGUUCCAUGGUGCACUACAGUCAACGCGGCAUAUGCUUGGUAUUUAAAAGCAACGCACGAGAUUAAAACAUUUUAAACUCAUUUAAUGGCUCUGAACACUUCC